GUGGGGAAUAUUGCACAAUGGGGGAAACCCUGAUGCAGCAACGCCGCGUGAAGGAUGACGGUUUUCGGAUUGUAAACUUCUUUUCUUAGUGACGAAGACAGUGACGGUAGCUAAGGAAUAAGCAUCGGCUAACUACGUGCCAGCAGCCGCGGUAAUACGUAGGAUGCAAGCGUUAUCCGGAUUUACUGGGUGUAAAGGGAGCGCAGGCGGGACUGCAAGUUGGAUGUGAAAUACCGUGGCUUAACCACGGAACUGCAUCCAAAACUGUAGUUCUUGAGUGAAGUAGAGGCAAGCGGAAUUCCGAGUGUAGCGGUGAAAUGCGUAGAUAUUCGGAGGAACACCAGUGGCGAAGGCGGCUUGCUGGACUGUAACUGACGCUGAUGCUCGAAAGUGUGGGUAUCAAACAGGAUUAGAAACCCUUGUAGUCC
rnacentral:rRNA from 1 species